UUUCUAAUCCAUAUUCUUCUUUAACGAUCGGUUUGUUCACUGACACGAUUACCGACCAAGUAUAAAUAAGCUUGCGAAAUUUCAUUUCGAUACAGUCAAAACAUAGACAGAAACAUGAGAACUACAAGAAUCGUGCUUAACGUUGCGCUCACUUUGGCGAUCGCUACCAUUUCUCUUAUGUGCGCCACUGCUACAGCCGAACCUACUCCAGAUGCGGACCCUAUAAGUACAGCAGCUCUUAAAUCUCUCGCUGGAAAAUAAAUGGUGUGCGAGAUGAAUCCUACGAAUGCGAAGAGGCCGAAGCAAUGCAUCCGCCCUUUAUACCUCGAAUAGGGAAAUGAAUAUUUCCGAAAAUACAGUGAAGUAAUGCCUAUGCACUCUCGAUUCAGUAGAAUGCAGAAUGCUUCCAACGCGUAUGACAGCAAUUUAUUGAAAUAAAUGGUUUACUUUGAAAUUGAUUCGAUCCGAUUUUCUC